rnacentral:rRNA from 1 species
AUUGAACGCUGGCGGCAUGCCUUACACAUGCAAGUCGAACGGCAGCACGGGAGCAAUCCUGGUGGCGAGUGGCGAACGGGUGAGUAAUAUAUCGGAACGUGCCCAGUCGUGGGGAUAACGUAGCGAAAGCUACGCUAAUACCGCAUACGAUCUAUGGAUGAAAGCGGGGGAUCGCAAGACCUCGCGCGAUUGGAGCGGCCGAUAUCAGAUUAGGUAGUUGGUGAGGUAAAGGCCCACCAAGCCGACGAUCUGUAGCUGGUCUGAGAGGACGACCAGCCACACUGGGACUGAGACACGGCCCAGACUCCUACGGGAGGCAGCAGUGGGGAAUUUUGGACAAUGGGCGCAAGCCUGAUCCAGCAAUGCCGCGUGCAGGAUGAAGGCCUCGGUUGUAACUAGCUUUGUACGGUAACGAAACGGUAGAGC